rnacentral:rRNA from 1 species
UUAACCGAAUAGGGGAGCCGGAGGGAAACCGAGUCUUAAUUGGGCGUUAAGUUGCAGGGUAUAGACCCGAAACCCGGUGAUCUAGCCAUGGGCAGGCUGAAGGUUGGGUAACACUAACUGGAGGACCGAACCGACUAAUGUUGAAAAAUUAGCGGAUGACCUGUGGCUGGGGGUGAAAGGCCAAUCAAACCGGGAGAUAGCUGGUUCUCCCCGAAAGCUAUUUAGGUAGCGCCUCGUGAAUUCAUCUCCGGGGGUAGAGCACUGUUUCGGCUAGGGGGCCAUCCCGGCUUACCAACCCGAUGCAAACUGCGAAUACCGGAGAAUGUUAUCACGGGAGACACACGGCGGGUGCUAACGUCCGUCGUGAAGAGGGAAACAACCCAGACCGCCAGCUAAGGUCCCAAAGUCAUGGUUAAGUGGGAAACGAUGUGGGAAGGCCCAGACAGCCAGGAUGUUGGCUUAGAAGCAGCCAUCAUUUAAAGAAAGCGUAAUAGCUCACUGGUCGAGUCGGCCUGCGCGGAAGAUGUAACGGGGCUAAACCAUGCACCGAAGCUGCGGCAGCGACACUGUGUGUUGUUGGGUAGGGGAGCGUUCUGUAAGCCUGUGAAGGUGUGUCGUGAGGCAUGCUGGAGGUAUCAGAAGUGCGAAUGCUGACAUAAGUAACGAUAAAGCGGGUGAAAAGCCCGCUCGCCGGAAGACCAAGGGUUCCUGUCCAACGUUAAUCGGGGCAGGGUGAGUCGACCCCUAAGGCGAGGCCGAAAGGCGUAGUCGAUGGGAAACGGGUUAAUAUUCCCGUACUUGGUGUUACUGCGAAGGGGGGACGGAGAAGGCUAUGUUGGCCGGGCGACGGUUGUCCCGGUUUAAGCGUGUAGGUGUGUGUUCCAGGUAAAUCCGGUUCACUUUAACACUGAGGCGUGACGACGAGGCACUACGGUGCUGAAGCAACAAAUGCCCUGCUUCCAGGAAAAGCCUCUAAGCAUCAGGUAACAUCAAAUCGUACCCCAAACCGACACAGGUGGUCAGGUAGAGAAUACCAAGGCGCUUGAGAGAACUCGGGUGAAGGAACUAGGCAAAAUGGUGCCGUAACUUCGGGAGAAGGCACGCUGACACGUAGGUGAAGUGAUUUACUCAUGGAGCUGAAGUCAGUCGAAGAUACCAGCUGGCUGCAACUGUUUAUUAAAAACACAGCACUGUGCAAACACGAAAGUGGACGUAUACGGUGUGACGCCUGCCCGGUGCCGGAAGGUUAAUUGAUGGGGUCAGCGCAAGCGAAGCUCCUGAUCGAAGCCCCGGUAAACGGCGGCCGUAACUAUAACGGUCCUAAGGUAGCGAAAUUCCUUGUCGGGUAAGUUCCGACCUGCACGAAUGGCGUAAUGAUGGCCAGGCUGUCUCCACCCGAGACUCAGUGAAAUUGAACUCGCUGUGAAGAUGCAGUGUACCCGCGGCAAGACGGAAAGACCCCGUGAACCUUUACUAUAGCUUGACACUGAACAUUGAGCCUUGAUGUGUAGGAUAGGUGGGAGGCUUUGAAGUGUGGACGCCAGUCUGCAUGGAGCCGACCUUGAAAUACCACCCUUUAAUGUUUGAUGUUCUAACGUGGACCCGUUACCCGGGUUGCGGACAGUGUCUGGUGGGUAGUUUGACUGGGGCGGUCUCCUCCUAAAGAGUAACGGAGGAGCACGAAGGUUGGCUAAUCCUGGUCGGACAUCAGGAGGUUAGUGCAAUGGCAUAAGCCAGCUUGACUGCGAGCGUGACGGCGCGAGCAGGUGCGAAAGCAGGUCAUAGUGAUCCGGUGGUUCUGAAUGGAAGGGCCAUCGCUCAACGGAUAAAAGGUACUCCGGGGAUAACAGGCUGAUACCGCCCAAGAGUUCAUAUCGACGGCGGUGUUUGGCACCUCGAUGUCGGCUCAUCACAUCCUGGGGCUGAAGUAGGUCCCAAGGGUAUGGCUGUUCGCCAUUUAAAGUGGUACGCGAGCUGGGUUUAGAACGUCGUGAGACAGUUCGGUCCCUAUCUGCCGUGGGCGCUGGAGAACUGAGGGGGGCUGCUCCUAGUACGAGAGGACCGGAGUGGACGCAUCACUGGUGUUCGGGUUGUCAUGCCAAUGGCACUGCCCGGUAGCUAAAUGCGGAAGAGAUAAGUGCUGAAAGCAUCUAAGCACGAAACUUGCCCCGAG